GACGAACGCUGGCGGCGUGCCUAAUACAUGCAAGUAGGACGCAGUUGCGAUCGUGUGAGUAACGCGUCGGUAACUGCCUAUUAGAGGGGGAUAACUAUUGGAAACGAUAGCUAAUACCGCAUACUAGUAGAUGGACCUGCUUUGUAUUAGCUAGUAGGUGGGGUAAUGGCCUACCUAGGCGACGAUACAUAGCCGCACUGAGAGGGUGAUUGGCCACACGGGGAAUGGGAAACGGCCCAGACUCCUACGGGAGGCAGCAGUAGGGAAGCUUCGGCAAUGGGGGGAACGCUGAACGAGCAACUCCGGGUGAGUGAAGAUGGUUUUCGGAUCGUAAAGCGCUGUUGUUAAGGAAGCGGUACUUAACCAGAAAGGGACGGCUAACUACGUGCCAGCAGCCGCGGUAAUUC
rnacentral:rRNA from 1 species